AGUCUUUUGGUUUUUUAUGAAAGAUGGGUUCUGCUCAGUGGUGCUAAACAGCCGCGGUAAUUUGACCGUGCGAAGGUAGCAUAAUCAUUUGCCUUAUAAUUUGGGGCUUGUAUGAAUGGAUUUACAAAAGAUUUUCUGUCUUAAAAAAAUAUUUAGAAUUUGUUUUUAUUGUGAAGAAACAAUAAUGUAGUAAGGGGACAAGAAGACCCUUUUGAUCUUUACUUUUUAUUAAUAUUGUGUUUUUAGAAAAGUUUGGUUGGGGCGAUCGAGGAAGAAAAUUAAGAAUCUUCCUUAAUUAGAAACUUAUGGUCCAAAAUUUUUGAUGAAAGGAUUAAGUUACCAAAGGGAUAACAGCGUAAUUUUUCUUGUGAGUUCUUAUUAAAAGAAAAGAUUGCGACCUCGAUGUUGACUUAUUAUUUUCCUUUUGGUGCAGAAGCUAAGUUAGGAGGGUCUGUUCGACCUUUAAUCUAUU
rnacentral:rRNA from 1 species